AUAGCUCAGAGAUGAGUGAAGCCCUUCGGGGCGCAUAGACAGGUGGUGCAUGGUUGUUGUCAGCUCGUGUCGUGAGAUGUUGGGUUAAGUCCCGCAACGAGCGCAACCCUUGUAUUUAGUUGCUACGUAAGAGCACUCUAGAUAGACUGCCGUUGACAAAACGGAGGAAGGUGGGGAUGACGUCAAAUCAUCAUGCCCCUUACGACCUGGGCCACACACGUACUACAAUGGCGCGCAACAGAGGGAAGCAAAACAGCGAUGUGGAGCAAACCCCUAAAACGCGUCCCAGUUCAGAUUGCAGGCUGCAACCCGCCUGCAUGAAGUCGGAAUUGCUAGUAAUCGCGGAUCAGCAUGCCGCGGUGAAUACGUUCCCGGGCCUUGUACACACCGCCCGUCACACCAUGGGAGCCGGUAACACCCGAAGUCAGUAGCCUAACUGCAAAGAGGGCGCUGCCGAAGGUGGGAUUGGUGACUGGGGUGAAGUCGUAACAAGGUAGCCGUAUCGGAAGGUGCGGUUGGAUCACCUCC
rnacentral:rRNA from 1 species